GCUUCCCUGAAAUCAAUCUCCUCCGUCUAUUUGUCAUCGCCUUCCCUAUAAGAUAAGGUUUCAGAGCAAUAAUAUCUAUUGCCUAGGAGGCUCAGAAGUCAGAACCCAAUUUGCUUAGCUCUUUGGCGCGUGAUUUCCACGGACGGGCUAUGGUUGCUCUCAAUCCCACCGUUUUUUGCUCGUGGAUAUGAAGAUUGAUUGAUUGUUCUGAACUUCAUCGAUUCGAGGCAGAUUAUUGUCCCAUACCUUAGCAGUUUGAGUCGAAUGAGGUUUUCUGUGAGAUCUACAGCUCAAGUUACAGGGCAUGCGUCGGUUCUGCUCCAUUACUAUGGAGAACGGGAGCAUAGCUUUUGGGAGUCCGAUGGUUGAUGGGCGAGAUAAGCUGGAUGUUUGCCGAUCGAUUAUAUUGAUUCAUGAACUAUGUUGUAAAUGGAGCAGUGCAGGAUUGAAAUUUGUGAUGUAAAAGGAGAAAUUGGGGCAGAGGAGGCCUAGUUUCAGGGGGCUGAGUUCCAAUUGAUCUUUUUGUCAUCCCAGACCUUUGCCAUGUCAGGUGCGCUUGCAUGGCAGGUCCCAAAUUUAAUAAAAAUAAGAACUUUUUUGGUUUUGAGGGAGAGAUCGCACGGGAUAUUUUAGCCCGGGAUCUCUCCCUUUGGUGGUGUGCCCUGUGUUUACUUGCUUUGCUAUUCUUUUGGUCCUCAACAUCCAACGUACUCACACUACCAACAAUCCCAACACGAUGGAAGCUUAUGGAUCAACAUCAUCUUGCUAACCAACCAUGAAAGGUAUAAAUCAUGCAAUUAAUUUACAUUUCAGAUUUAAUUUCACUUGGUUACCUUAGUUUAGGAAGCAAAACAUGUCAGAAUCUGGUUUGUGGCAAAAAUACCAAAUUCAAAUGGUUAAAAAAAAAUGAUUAAAAUUUGAAACUAAUAACCUCUUUUAUAUGAGAUUGAAAAGAUAAAAUUGAAAAGGAGUUUCAAAAUUUUCAUAUAUCAUUUAUAUUUCUACAAUUGAGUUUCAAUAUCUUUUUAUGGUAAAAUUUAUGACUAUUGAUUAUAAUUAUGUUUUUGAAUUUUGGGUGUGUAAUAGAAAGAAGUUAAAAGUUCUGUACUAUCAAUUGUUCAUAAUAUUUGUCAAACAUGGAACAAGUGGAUGCUUUAACCUGUAAUGACAUUAAACUAACUAGUUGAAUGUACUCCCAGCAUCAAUAUUUGGGUUAUGGCAGUCACAGAUUUUUAGAUUAUCUAAAUGAACAUCCACAGGCAAUUUUGCUAUUCAAGAUGGUAAAUUUUAUCAAUCACCAAUCAUACCUUUAUAGGAUGAGAAAUUGAGGCAAACCAAAGAGUUGUUGGCAAAUGACCUUACUCAUUUUCUUCUCCCACCUUACUCAUUUCUCUCCUUACCAUGGAAGUAUAUGGUUCAAACAUCUUUUGUUACUAUUCAUAUUGCUUUUCAUGACACAUUGCAUAUUUCAUAUCUACCUUUGUUGGUUUACCACCUUACACAAGUUUAUUUUUAGUUCCUUCUCUUUUAUAAACUUUUGGAACUUUGUACACUGGUUGUAAAGCAGUGGAUGAGGAAGUUGAUGAAUAUCUUUGUAAAUCUGUAGACUUUUUAAUAAUUCUUGUUGUAUUUGAUGUUUUCCGAAUUUGCAAUUGUAUGAUACAUUGUGCUAUGUUGAACAAUGAGGAUGGAUGAGUCUGCAAUUGGCAAGCUGCACUUUAAUUCAAGAGGUUUGGAACAAGACCAUUCCAUCCAACAGAUGUUGACUGUUGAUGGAUGUUAUGGGAGUAGAGUAGUUUUUUUUUGUGCACGGAUAAAUUGCAUUCGCCUGCAUAAUGACAUAGGAGCGUAUUCUCGGGUUGAAGAGGAAGGGGAAGAUAUUGGAGGAGGCAAUCCAUUUCCAGAGGUGUAUAACUAAAAGCUGACGAAAAGCAAGACCGGAGUCUUUUCGUCCAGGUUAAAUAGGUACAAAGCCUCUCUUAUUUAUGAGCUGCUACGGUGGAUGAAUGUUGACCUGCUUUUGUUGGAUGAUAUCUUUUGCAAGUUUUGAUUGAGGUGAUAUCUUCUUCUACUCAUUUAUCAACUUUUGCCCAAGCUUAUCAACUUAUGCCCAAGGAGUAUCAGCAUUUUGGUUGUUGCACCCAUAAUAGUUUGGAAUAUACAAUAAUAUCAGAAAUCUGCUGAGAACAUAUUCCUGCUGCGGGUGAGGUUUGAGUUCACUUUCAUACUAGCCGCUAUUCUGGCAAUGUUGUCCUAUCAUCCUUUGGUAAUUCACACCAUCUUCAAGUCUUCUCUUAAAUAUGGUGCAUUUGGAGCUGAUUACAAAUUUGAAUAAUCACUUUGCCCUCUUUCUGUUCAUUGAUCUGUUGAAACUAGAUAUGCUAAAUAUCUUUUCAUACAAUUCUUCUGUACUCUGAGUCUGUGUUGCUAAUGGGCAUUCAAUAAAGGAGAUUGCUCCCAAUGACCAAUCCAGUGGGCAUUGCUCAGCCUGCAAACAGAGGAGUAAGCAGAGAUAUUCGGAGUACUUGGAUCUUAUUUUGGCAGAUAAGAAUACCAUAGAGGUUAUUCCUUAAUCACCAUGUACUAAUGUGUGUUGGUUUUUUCAUAGAAUCAUAGUUUUUCUUGCAACAUCUAAUUGAAUCAAAUGAUUAUACUAUCUCAUCCAGGCAA